rnacentral:rRNA from 1 species
UCUAAGUAUAACCUGCCAGACAGGGAAACUGCGUACGGCUCAUUACACCAGCCUUCAUUUACUUGACCUUGACAACCUACUUGGAUAACCUGUGGUAAUUCUAGAGCUAAUACAUGCACCAAAGCUCCGAUCCUCGCGGAGAGGAGCGCAUUUGUUCGCCACAAAACCAAGCGCCCAUCUGGGCGUCCAGUGCUGAACCAGAACAACUCAGCUGAUCGCACGGUCUUGUACCGGCGACGUGUCUUUCAAGUGUCUGCCUUAUCAACUUUCGAUGGUAGUGUACCUGACUACCAUGGUUGUGACGGGUAACGGAGGAUAAGGGUUCGACUCCGGAGAAGGGGCCUGAGAAAUGGCCACUACGUCUAAGGAUGGCAGCCGGCGCGCAAAUUACCCACUCUCAACGCGAGGAGGUAGUGACGAGAAAUAACGAGACCGUUCUCAUACGAGGCCGGUUAUUGGAAUGGGUACAAUUUAAA